rnacentral:rRNA from 1 species
GAUGAACGCUAGCUACAGGCCUAACACGAUGCAAGUCGAGGGGCAGGCGGAAGGAGCUUGCUUCUUCGCCGGCGACCGGCGCACGGGUGAGUAACGCGUAUCCAACCUUCCCAUGUCACGGGAUAGCCCGUCGAAAGGCGGAUUAAUACCGUAUGAGGUCACAUGCGGGCAUCUAAGUGUGACGAAAGGUUUGGCGGACAUGGAUGGGGAUGCGUCCGAUUAGCUAGUUGGCGGGUAACGGCCCACCAAGGCGACGAUCGGUAGGGGUUCUGAGAGGAAGGUCCCCCACAUUGGAACUGAGACACGGUCCAAACUCCUACGGGAGGCAGCAGUGAGGAAUAUUGGUCAAUGGACGGAAGUCUGAACCAGCCAAGUAGCGUGCAGGAUGACGGCCCUAUGGGUUGUAAACUGCUUUUAUGUGGGAAUAAAGUCAGGGACGUGUCCCUGUUUGCAUGUACCACAGGAAUAAGGACCGGCUAAUUCCGUG